AGAGAAUUUCAGAAAAUAUUUUAAAAAAAUUAAAUUUUUUCAAGAAUUUCUUCAUCCCGGUAAAAUGUCUCAUUCAGACUACAAUCUCCUUUCAACAAACCACUUGAACCAGGAUAAAAUAAAUUCCUCUUGUAAUAAGAUUUCCCUGAGAAUGCCAACUAAAUUCUUGGAAAUUUAGUAGUAUAUUCAAAUUUAGAGUCUAUUAAUUUCUCCUGUUCAAAUAUUUUCAGAUAAUUUAUAUAUGUCUUACAAGACAAGUACAAAAAAUACCUUCAAGGGUUUUAUCAUCUUGAUGUUGAGCAAAUCAUUAAAUAAGUCCAUGCUGUCUUCAAAAGAUUUUUGACUAUUUCAUGACUUUUUUGGGCAUUUGGACCAACUAAGUCAGCUCGAAGUCUAAAUCUAUUACACUCUGACUUUUAAAAUGUGGUCUGGAUUACUCUACAUUAAAUACAGACUGCAACCUGUCAGGUCUUUAUUUUAUUUGAGAUGAUGCCCCAAUAGUUGGAAGGUUAACAAAGCUUAAAAACCACAGACGAUCAUCGAUAUUUCCUAACUUUGACUCAUCAUUUUGCUGAGUGAACAUAUAUGUCAACUUUCGACAUGAAGAGUGACAUAAUUUCUGCUAAUUAAUUACUUUAAAAAAUAUUUUGUGAAGAAUAUCAAUUUCAAUGAAAAAUGUUAAAAAACAAAACUGGCAGAAUUAUCAGAAAUUUUUUUUAUUUUACUAUUUUUGCCACUAUUUGUUCCACAAGAAGAUGAAUAAAUAUCAGUAAAUUUGAAGAUAUAUUUGAAUACAGUUACUGUAGGAAUGUUUUACAAGAGCAGUAUUUGUUUGUGGUGCCAUACAGUUACCUACAUAAGAUGUAAUAAAUAAUUUAUCAUCAGUUUUAUUAUCACAAUAGCACCAGAAAAUAUUACGAUACAAUUCUAAGUCCAAGUCGCCCAGCUCUAUUGGGAAACAUAAAAAAUAAAAACUACAAACAUGUCAAAAAUUAGCCUGUUAUGUCGUUAGUACUGUUGCCUAAAAGACUGCUUUUUAAAAUACAGUUAGAUUUAUUUUGCAGCACAGUGGUGCAAUUGUUAGUACUGUUGCAUGCUGUUAGUCAAAUUUAAUGCUUUGACUUUGCUUUCCCCUUUGAGGGAAUUGUAAAACACAAUUUCUCAUUAAAAAAAAAAAGCUGAAAGGAUUUCAACUUGGAAAGUGGAGACUCUGCAACUGGUAAGAAAAAGAAAGGGAAAUGCUUUUGGCAUGAGUUGCUCCUGUAAUUAUAAAACCUAAUCCGAUCAGCUGUCAGAAGUUUGCAGCUACAGCCUCAGCUGGAGUGCAGCCAGAUCGCUGUUAUGCUGGACAUGAGGAUACAUCCACUUUCACUGACCUUUAUGGGCUCUUUGCACCUCAGCUUCCGCGUUCGGGGAAAAGCGGCUCGAUCAUUUCCAAUCUAUUGAAAAUGGCACUUUACACCGGGUAUUUGCAGGGCUUGUCCAAGGUAACAAUUAAUGACAUACAUCGAUCCGAAGCCCCAAUAAGUAAGCUGAAGAAAGGUUUUAAGAUGUACGCCUCGUUAUACGUUCGCAGAUACAAAGGUGAGUUUUACUUUCUUUAAACUUUGUGGCUAACAUUAGCUUUAGCUUAUGCUAGUUGGCAAUAUUCUUGGACAUUUUUCUUGUAAAAAUUUAGGCAUCUAAGCAUUUUUCAUCCAUUCUAACGGACGAUGUUUUUACCUUAUUUUCAAGUAUAUUACGUGCGUUUAUUGUUGUUAGUGUCAGAGACCAAGUAAUGGGGGAUUUUACGGUUCAGGCUUUUUGCCUGAAGCAUGAGGAAGCACAACAACCCCGUAGCUUAACAGUAGGGCAGCUCUGGUGUCAGAGUUCUAGUUGAGGA